rnacentral:rRNA from 1 species
UACGUAGGGUGCAAGCGUUGUCCGGAAUUAUUGGGCGUAAAGAGCUCGUAGGCGGUCUGUCGCGUCUGCUGUGAAAACUCAGGGCUUAACCCUGAGCUUGCAGUGGGUACGGGCAGACUAGAGUGCGGUAGGGGAGACUGGAAUUCCUGGUGUAGCGGUGAAAUGCGCAGAUAUCAGGAGGAACACCGGUGGCGAAGGCGGGUCUCUGGGCCGUAAACUGACGCUGGAGGAGCGAAAGCCAUGGGGAGCGAACAGG